rfam:Physcomitrella patens subsp. patens PHYPAscaffold_184 genomic scaffold, whole genome shotgun sequence.
GGACUAUGACGAUUCAAAGAAAGGUCUCGUUCAACGUAUUGGCUGACAAGCCUUGCCGACCAUUCUAAAAAGAUCACCACCCAUAAUCUGAUGUCC